GAUGAAGAACGUAGCGAAAUGCGAUAAGUAGUGUGAAUUGCAGAAUUCAGUGAAUCAUCGAAUCUUUGAACGCACAUUGCGCCCUUCGGUAUUCCGUAGGGCAUGCCUGUUCGAGCGUCAUUUAAACCUUCAAGCUCUGCUUGGUGUUGGGUGUCUGUCUCGCCUCCGUGCGUGGACUCGCCUUAAAAUCAUUGGCAGCCGGUAGUUUGGCUUCGUGCGCAGCAGAAUACGCGCGUGAGACUGGGCUGUCGGCUUUCCACAAGUCACUUUUUAGUUUGACCUCGGAUCAGGUAGGGAUACCCGCUGAACUUAAGCAUAUCAAUAAGCGGAGGA
rnacentral:misc_RNA from 1 species